CCGGCCGGCCGGCGGCGGGGCGCGAGCCCCGCACGCUCGCACCUCGGGCGCUCCCCUCCCGCCCGGCCCCGCCCCGCGCCCGCCCUCCGCGGGCCGGAAGAGGCCGCGCCAUAGGGAUUUGGGUUGCUCUGGACUCUGCGCUAGACUAUUCCAAGCUGGUGUGGAGAACAGACUAGGAAAAGAAUACAGACGAGGGAUUCAGAAGCAAGACUGUCCUUCACCAGAACGUCACUGCAGAAAGGAAUUGUGGCACUCACCUGCCAACAACCAACUCAGUAACCCGUCACCAUGCCUGGCUUCCUACAGGAAAAGCCAACUCCAAGUCUCCUGUCUGCCCCGAGGAGGCAUGCCCUGGAAAUGAUGGUUUGGGGAUGAGACAGAGUGUUAACCAAGAGUAUCCCUCACCCAGAGCAGCUGUCCUCCCCGCCCCCAGCCUCCAUUAAAUAGAUCAACUGUUCCUCCCCAGGGGAAGCCUAUCUUGCUGACAGUGGCUCUGUCUGCUUCUGGAAAGCACCCUGAACCCAAAUGGUCAGAGCUGAAUAGGACAGUUUGCCAAGGGAUCCCAGACUAGCUGGAAGCGUUUAGUAGAUGCUGAAUUUUAAAUAGGUCUCACUGUAAACAGCUCACAUUUAGCAAUGGAAUUAGGGUCUCCACUUUAUGUAGAAGAAUUUAUUCCCUCCACAUCAGUGUUGGAGAGCUAAAAAAAUUAUAUUCAGAGAUUCUAGGGUCUUAAGAAUGACCCAUCUGUUUGAAAAACUAUCCUGCGUGGGGCGCCUGGGUGGCUCAGUGGGUUAAGCCUCUGCCUUCAGCUCAGGUCAUGAUCUCAGGGUCCUGGGAUCAAGCCCCACAUCGGGCUCUCAGCUCAGCAGGGAGCCUGUUUCCCUUCCUCUCUCUCUCUGCCUGCCUCUCUGCCUACUUGUGAUCUCUGUCUGUCAAAUAAAUAAAUUAAGCCUUUAAAAAAA